AGCCAAAAUAAAUGCUAAGGCAGCAUCCCUCCAGAGGGUGGCGCCGUAGGCGGCCGCAUACAGUAUGUCACCUAAUGGGUAGACGGGCACUGAUUAGACUGAAUAUUGUGGUCACAGAAAGGAAAAUAUGUGCUGAGUGUUUAGAGCAAUUUACUGUGAGGCCAGAAGGAAGAGCAACGUUCGGUCAAUGCAAGACACAUUAUCCACAAGGUAUUUCAAGGGCUUGGAAUCCACUCUCCUCUAGAGACUUGGCCUGGCCCACUGGAAGUCAGACGUUCUACACGACAGAAAUGCCUCUUGCCUUUGGUCCCUUAAGGCGCAGCAGGAGGGUGACAUAGCAGCCUUGUGAAGAAACCUCAUGUUGUUAUAAGCACUUCAGCGUCAACCUUUGAGAGCAAGUCAGCCUGUCUGCGAUGGUCCCCACAUAAUUAUUCUCCACAAAGUGCGAGCCUUUCUACAUUCCAGAUGUUAAGUUGAACAUAAAAUAUUCAUGACAACAUGGAGAGAGAGCCAUGUCACUGGACCUCUGAUUCAUUACUGACAUGCAGAAAUUAAAGACAGUGGCAGUUUUGGUAAAACAACACACUUCGGCAAAAUGGGACACGGACUUAGUGCGAAGAAUGUGCAGCAGGUCCUGUGUCUGCUGUAAAAGGGGGACAAUUGUCCCUGCACAUUGCAGAGUCCCAAGGCUGACGUGUUGUUUACUGUGGAAUAACAAAGGGACGAAGAAGUCAAGAUUCUGACGUGAAGCAAAGUGAACAAGGUGCCACAAUCGCAGAACAGGGACGUGCUUCAGAAUGCAAAGUGCCUUCCAGGCCGGGCGAAUUCCCCAAACUUCUGCGGCUUGAGUUGCAGGUUACCUAUGGAUGCAUUCAAACUACAUCACAGGUUGAUUUUCACUCACCUAAACCGAGGUCCAGCCGUUGUAGUAAACAAAUUUUUAGUUGCAGUAUAUUUUCACAGCACCAGCUCACAUCUAUGCUACGGAAAACAUGUUAUCUGAAUACUUACAUAAUAUAAAGGAAACACAUAGAUAUGCCGUUAAUGCAAUGUUUUCAGUAAAUCAUGUAUUUCUUGAGUUUUAGAGUUUAAAGACCCAGUAUGGGAUGGUCAGGAAAAAAGCAUAAAAGCAUUGAAAUAUAUAAGAUAUAUAUAUAUAAAAUAUGCAUGAAUUAUUUAAAGAAAUAAACUCUCCCCACAUCCACCACCCCCCACCAUUUAUCACACAGGGGGGGCUGCUAAAUUUGACAUUCUGGUGGGAUUUAUGAUACAUAGUAAUUAUAGAUAUUAAAUGCCCUUUAAACAAAAAGAGUGUUAUUACAGCGAUAAUCAUAAUUUUAUACUUUAUAGAGGAUUAAUGGAAGAAGUACAUUUUUACAUGCUGUGUUUUGCCAUGCCGUGAACAUUUAAACAUAUAUUCAAAUUUAAACAUAUGAUUCAAAACACAUUAAUAUGCAUGCAACAAAGAACAAUAA